rnacentral:snRNA from 1 species
GUGAUUGUCACCUUUGCUAGAGAAGAUUAGCAUGGCCUCUGUGCAAGGAUGACACGCUUAACUCGAUAAGUGGUCCGAUUUUUU